rnacentral:rRNA from 1 species
GUUGAACGUUGGCGGCAGGCCUAACACAUGCAAGUCGAGCGGCAGCGGGAAAGUAGCUUGCUACUUUCGCCGGCGAGCGGCGGACGGGUGAGUAAUGCCUGGGGAUCUGCCCAGUCGAGGGGGAUAACUACUGGAAACGGUAGCUAAUACCGCAUACGCCCUACGGGGGAAAGCAGGGGACCUUCGGGCCUUGCGCGAUUGGAUGAACCCAGGUGGGAUUAGCUAGUUGGUGAGGUAAUGGCUCACCAAGGCGACGAUCCCUAGCUGGUCUGAGAGGAUGAUCAGCCACACUGGAACUGAGACACGGUCCAGACUCCUACGGGAGGCAGCAGUGGGGAAUAUUGCACAAUGGGGGAAACCCUGAUGCAGCCAUGCCGCGUGUGUGAAGAAGGCCUUCGGGUUGUAAAGCACUUUCAGCGAGGAGGAAAGGUUGGUAGCUAAUAACUGCCAGCUGUGACGUUACUCGCAGAAGAAGCACCGGCUAACUCCGUGCCAGCCGCCGCCGUAAAAC